UGCCACCUUAUCGUGGUGGAGGGGUUUGUGUGUCCCAGUGAUCCUAAAAGCCGUCUGAGGCUUCAUGCCUCUGCUUGGGUCGGGUCCGCCAGGGCAGACGGCUCCUAGGUGAGGGAUCGGACCAAGAGCAGCCCAAAGACCACUUAGAAAUGUUGACAGAACCAGGGUUUCUCUCCGAGUCAUCGGCCUGGUGAGCCACCAGGCUAAGCUUGCUUUAUUUUAAAUAGGGAUUUUUUUUUUAACCCAAAAACCCAGUGAGACGCUGAUGAAUGACAUUAGUGACCCUUCCACCAGGCUCAGCAGCUUCUCUGAGGGAAACCCAGGAAGUGUUCCCAUGUGAGCAGUUAUUCAAUUUUCAGUGUUUUACUUCCUGUUGGGACCUGAAGAGGCGUUUCUUCCCUAUUGUCCUCCACUCAGCAGUUUCUUCACCCUGAGGGGAGAAUUUCAUCUUGUGUUCUGCAGCAGCUUGAUGCAGUCAGACUCCAGUACCAUCAGUAAUGAGCUAAAAGGGUCACCAGUGCAUCGCUAUGACUUGCUCAUCCACUUCUGGGGGAAGAUUUGAGAUCCCACAGCCUAAAAAUGGCUUCACCUGUUCAGUUUGAGUCGACCCGUCACACCAAGCCGAUGGAGGCUGGAAGAGAGGAGACGCAGCGAGCUUCUCCUACUGGGAAGAUCAGAGAUGAAAACGUGGAAUCAACUCAGCCAUCCUGAUGAGAAGCUGCUUUCAGACCCAGCUGAACUGCUAAACUACAUCGGAAUGGACCCUGGCUUUCUUAAUCCGUCCUGGUACCCUGCCUUCAACCUGGCUACCUUCGUCCGACCAUCGUCCUAGCUCCCUUCAGGUCCUGGGAGAUAUGACCAUUUUGAUUCCUUUAUAGGGAUGUUCUCACAAUCUGUCUGAAAUAAAAAUGAUUAAAAUCAGAAAA